GGGAGGAAAGCGGGAAGUGCCCCGUCUACUGUCGCGGGCGAGGCACUGGGGGCAGGAGAGGGAAGGGGACAUUCUACCAUUCUACUCUGGCGGCUGCUGCAUAUGGAGAGGCCGCGCAGGCCCUAUCUCGAAAGCGAUCUGUGACGGGGACAUAGUGCACGCCAAGUUCUGAUAGCUUCAUGAGCACUGUUUUCACCACUUAGUUUGCAUUGGAACAAGAGGCAGCAUAAAGGUCAAUUCGCUCACUGCUGCUGCUGCAGUGCUCCAUCACUCCAGUGUUUUGACAGCGAGUUUCCGCGGUCGUCGAGUGAGAUGUGUUUGAGUCUGCUUGCGCGCAACACCAUGCUUGUUAACCUCGUAAGCGAAUGUUUAUACGAAUGUUUAUACGGCCUAUAAAACUACUAUCCUUAUUUGGUAUAGCUGUCUACUAAUUUGCUACUGCAAUCGAUGCUCCCCCUUUCAAUCGAAACUGCAAUUUUUUUUUUUUUUGCAACUAUGUGUGAUUUUUCCGUAAGUAAAUAAUUGUUCUGGCAGGCUAUGCGCAGUGUUUGCUUGUGCACAUUCUCGGUACUGUGUUUCGAAGGAUUUUUUUGUCUAUACUUUUUAGAGCAGUAGUUUUAUGACGGGUUUUCAACGCUCUAAUCUACUGUGCUUGAAGAACUAUGCAUACCACACCUUGGUAGAUCAAAAGAAGCAAUUAAUCAUUAAUCAUUUUCUGAGUCCCGGCCAUGGCGAUCACAUUUCGAUAGAUGCGAAAUGCAAACGCCCGUGCACUGUGCAUCAAGCAUGCGCGCCCUGCUGGAUAUGCAGGGUCGUCAUUUAUAUUGAUGCAGGGUGUGAAUUAUCAUAUUCAAGACUGUCAUUUAUGUAUUUACAUGGGGCUCAAGGUGUGGCAAGGCGUGCGGACGGCGCAGCUGAAAAGUACAGCAAAAAAGCUCGGGCAUAUUGAUACGACUGCCUUUAUCAAAAAUAAACUCAAGUUAUUGUGAGGUUUCCCUUGAAUGUGCGACGUCCAUACACAGUGUAGCCGGCAGACUCACAUAUAUUUAGUGAUUGCUCAGAUCGACAACUUCUGCUUACAACAUCCUACGCGUUUUUGUAAGCAACCUCUACAGGUAUAAACACUUCCAAGGAUUUUCCAUUGCACCAUAUGAAACUGGGUCCUUAAAACUCCCUUUAACACUUCUAACAUGACUUUAAAGGGGGCCAGAAACAAUGUGAAGUGGGCACGAAGGGGUCCCAUGAAAUCCAUAUCCAUGUCGCAUCACUCAGGCCAUGAAGGUAUUUCGGACGCUUCAAAGCGACGAAAACCUAGCACUUCCUGCGGCAAACAUACGCAAAAGUGUCCAAGCAUGUAGGCAGUGCGUAACCUCUUUUUCUCUUGGCUAGGCGCUGCAUGGUGGGAGAGUGAGCCACCACACGCAGGAAGGCGCCGACAAGCCUGGACAUGACAAUGAAGCACCUAACGCGUGUGCCGAGGCCGAUAGUUUGUUCCCUCUCCUGGACGAAAGCAUUCCCAGGAAAGAUGCAGGAAUUUUUCCAGAGGAAGAGCUGGGCCCUCACCCCCUGCUGUCACCUGCAAGUGGAAGGGCUCCAUCAAGGGAGGUGCCGCCUGCCCAAACUGUACAACCCUGGCACAAGAGAAACCAAGGUUUACCAUCUGCUGUGGACUUGCCCAAGACACAUGACGCACAAGAAAUAACCAGGAGUCAUUUCUCAGACGACCUGGCCUCCGCGGUGACCACAUGCCAACUUCAGCAGCUGCAUUCAAGACGAUUGUCAUUACAAAGCCUUACUGACCUACAGCGCAAUGUGGGGUUACAUUCAUUUAUAUUUAUAGAUCUCCUCAAAUUAAAACAAAAAUACUUUUACUAUU